rnacentral:lncRNA from 10 species
UCUAGGUAAUGUGUGCAGAUCUUAAGUGCACAGUUUGAUGCACUCACACAACUUCCACCCAGAUCAAGACAGAAGGCGUUCCUAACACUAGAAGGUUCCCAGUCGGUGACCAUGAUUCCAGAUUGUUCUGCCGGUCCCUGAAGUUCCUGUAAAUGGACUCGUCCGGCAUGCUGCCACUCCUGUCUGGUCUCCUUCCCUCAGCCUGCUGUUGUGAGCCCCGCGGUGCUGCUGCAUGCACCAGCAAAUCAUGUGUUCAUUGCUUGCUGCCACUCUGCUGCCUGAUUGCGCUGCAGGCUGUUUACCUAGUCUCAUUUGGGCUGCUUCCAGUUUGGGGCUAUUGUGAAUAAGGCUGCUAUGAGCAUUGCUGGAAGACACUCACUUUUCUGGGAUGAAUACCUAGGAGUGGAAUUAUUGGGUCGUAGAGUACAUGUGUGUAGCUUCAGUGGAUGCUCCAAACAGAUUUCCGACUUGGUUUGGUUGGCCCCAUGUUUACUCUCACAAGUUGUGAGCAUUCCCGAUCCACAUGGAGGCCAGCACUUCAUUGUGUCAGUCUUGUUGUUGUUGUUGUUGUUGAGAUGGAGUCUCACUCUGUCGCCCAGGCUGGAGUGCAGUGGCACGACCUUGGCUCACUGCAACCUUCGCCUCCCUGUUCAAGCGAUUCUCCUGCCUCAGCCUCCCAAGUAGCUGGGACUACAGGUGCCCACCACCACACCCACUAAUUUUUGUAUUAUUAAUAGAGACAAGGUUUUGCUAUGUUGCCCAGGCUGGUCUCGAACUCCUGACCUCAAGUGAUCCACCCGCCUCGGCCUCCCAGAGUGCUGGGAUUACAGAUGUGAGCCGCCGCGCCUAGCCAGUUCACUUUCUUAAUGAUGUCUUUUGAUGAUGGAAAGUCCUAACUGUAAUGGAGUUCGCUUUCCCAAUGCUGACUCUUAUGGUUAGUGCCUUUGGAGUUUAAGAAGCAUUUCCUGCUCCAAGAUCAUGAAGAUACUCUCCUCUGUCUUAUGGAAGCUUGGUUAUUU